rnacentral:rRNA from 1 species
GAUGAACGCUAGCUACAGGCUUAACACAUGCAAGUCGAGGGGAAACGACAUCGAAAGCUUGCUUUUGAUGGGCGUCGACCGGCGCACGGGUGAGUAACGCGUAUCCAACCUGCCCAUCACUUGGGAAUAACCUUGCGAAAGUAAGACUAAUACCCAAUGACAUCCCACGAAGACAUCUGAAUGGGAUUAAAGAUUUAUCGGUGAUGGAUGGGGAUGCGUCCGAUUAGCUUGUUGGCGGGGUAACGGCCCACCAAGGCAACGAUCAGUAGGGGUUCUGAGAGGAAGGUCCCCCACAUUGGAACUGAGACACGGUCCAAACUCCUACGGGAGGCAGCAGUGAGGAAUAUUGGGCAAUGGGCGAGAGCCUGAACCAGCCAAGUAGCGUGCAGGAUGACGGCCCUAUGGGUUGUAAACUGCUUUUAUAAGGGAAUAAAGUGGGUCUCGUGAGACUUUUUGCAUGUACCUUAUGAAUAAGGACCGGCUAAUUCCGUG